CUAACACAUGCAAGUCGAACGGUAACAGGGAUUGCUUGCAAUCCGCUGACGAGUGGCGCACGGGUGCGUAACGCGUAUAGAACCUACCCUUUACAGGGGGAUAGCCCGGAGAAAUCCGGAUUAAUACCCCAUAGUAAUACUUCAGGGCAUCCUGAAGUUUUUAAAGUUUCGACGGUAAAGGAUGGCUAUGCGUCUUAUUAUCUAGUAGGCGAGGUAACGGCUCACCUAGGCAACGAUAAGUAGGGGCCCUGAGAGGGGGAUCCCCCACACUGGUACUGAGACACGGACCAGACUCCUACGGGAGGCAGCAGUGAGGAAUAUUGGACAAUGGACGAGAGACUGAUCCAGCCAUGCCGCGUGCAGGAAGACGGCCCUACGGGUUGUAAACUGCUUUUUUACGGGAAGAAUAAUACCCACGUGUGGGUAGAUGACGGUACCGUACGAAUAAGGACCGGCUAACUCCGUGCCAGCAGCCCGCGGUAAUACGGAGGGUCCGAGCGUUAUCCGGAAUUAUUGGGUUUAAAGGGUCCGCAGGCGGGCCAGUAAGUCAGGGGUGAAAGUUUGCGGCUCAACCGUAAAAUUGCCUUUGAUACUGCUGGUCUUGAGUUGCGGUGAAGUGGCCGGAAUAUGUGGUGUAGC
rnacentral:rRNA from 1 species